rnacentral:rRNA from 1 species
UACGAAGGGGGGCUAGCGUUGUUCGGAAUCACUGGGCGUAAAGCGCACGUAGGCGGAUCUUUUAAGUCAGGGGUGAAAUCCCGAGGCUCAACCUCGGAACUGCCUUUGAUACUGGGGAUCUCGAGUCCGGGAGAGGUGAGUGGAACUGCGAGUGUAGAGGUGAAAAUUCGUAGAUAUUCGCAAGAACACCAGUGGCGAAGGCGGCUCACUGGCCCGGAACUGACGCUGAGGUGCGAAAGCGUGGGGAGCAAACAGGG